GGGGAAAAUAUUAGCAGCACGGCUGUUACUGGAGUUAAAGAUUAACUUGGCUAGAGAAAAUGAAAGGCAGCAAGUAUCACUGGUUAAUUGAUUUUAUUGUAACUUUAUCCAAACGCCCUACCAUAGUAAGCACCGUGUAAGCAAAUAGGAUGACUGACCACCUUUCCUGAAGAACCAGCAACACAGAAAUCAUAAACAAAGCACUAAGAGACGAAUUACCCGGGGAAAAUGACAAGUUUUUGGCAAUGAGGAGCCAUAUGGAUCCCGGCCAGGAGAUCAUCGUGCAUCAAGCACCCAGGUGAUCUUAAGGUGUCAGACCAUGGCUGAUGAAUUACAAGAGCACAAAAAAACAGCAUCAACAAAAAUCUGCAUCAGUGCAAUAGAUUCUGGGUCUCAGAAGCCCUUCCUUCUGAAUAUAGGAGCAGACUGACGGAGAAGGAUUCCCCUCUUCUCCUCUGCAGGAAUAUUGGUAAUCCCAACCUUAUUUUAAACCCUUGGUGAAGAAAUACACCUGCAGAGGUAUUGCAGAGAACAUGAAAUCAGUACCUGCAUGGGUUCCAGCUGGGUUGUGUACAGAAGACAAACAGGUUCUCUGGGCCCCAUCCCCUCAGGAAAAAAUACGAUCUUAUCUUGGAAAUACACCAGGCUCCACAGCAAAAGAGCUGCACAAGAGCAGAGAACCCCAGGAAACCCUCAUCACAUGGAGCUGCAAAUUUCACCAGUGUUUCUCAUCUGCUUCUUCAGGGUCAGUCAGCUUCAGAAUUUAACACUGGUGAGCACCCCAACACUUCCAUGUUUGUAUCUCUAGCCCAGCUGGGUCUCAUCUGUAUUCACCUGAAGGGAGCUCACUGAACGUAAAGAGUGUCCCACCUGACCGUGUUUUGGUCCUAAAGUCAUUCCUAUUUACUUUUAUCUGAAAAUGAUCGCUCAAAGUAAAAACAGCUACACGGGCCCAACUAUAAUGACACAGACUUUCCUCCUCUCUAAAUAAAUAUGAACAGGACUAAAACUGAAUAAAAAUAACUGUUCUGUUGAAAAGUCCUGAGUGCGUACAUGUGGAAACUUCUAAGAGGCCAAUAAAUAAGACCAUCUGAGUGAAUGAGGCUUUUAUUCUCAGCUUGAGACUGCAGAGGCUGAAACUGAUACGCAGCCA
ensembl:lncRNA